CGCAGUCUGCAACUCGACUGCGUGAAGUCGGAAUCGCUAGUAAUCGCGGAUCAGCAUGCCGCGGUGAAUACGUUCCCGGGCCUUGUACACACCGCCCGUCACACCAUGAGAGUCGGGAACACCCGAAGUCCGUAGCCUAGCAGCAAUGAGGGCGCGGCCGAAGGUGGGUUCGAUAAUUGGGGUGAAGUCGUAACAAGGUACC
rnacentral:rRNA from 1 species